AUUGAACGCUGGCGGCAUGCCUAACACAUGCAAGUCGAACGGUAACAGGAAGCGUCUUGCUGCUUUGCUGACGAGUGGCGGACGGGUGAGUAAUGUCUGGGAAACUGCCCGAUGGAGGGGGAUAACUACUGGAAACGGUAGCGAAUACCGCAUAACGUCGCAAGACCAAAGAGGGGGACCUUAGGGCCUCUUGCCUUCGGAUGUGCCCAGAUGGGAUUAGCUAGUAGGUGGGGUAACGGCUCACCUAGUAGACGAUCCCUAGCUGGACGGAGAGUAUGACCGGCCACACUGGAACUGAGACACGGUCCAGACUCCUAAGGGAGGCAGCAGUGGGGAAUAUUGCACAAUGGGCGCAAGCCUGAUGCAGCCAUGCCGCGUGUAUGAAGAAGGCCUUCGGGUUGUAAAGUACUUUAAGCGGGGAGGAAGGGAGUAAAGUUAAUACCUUAACACAUUGACGUUACCUGCAGAAGAAGCCCCGGCUAACUACGUG
rnacentral:rRNA from 1 species